rnacentral:rRNA from 1 species
GAGGGUCACACCCGUUCCCAUCCCGAACACGGAAGUUAAGCCUCUUGGAGCCGAUGGUACUGCGCUGGAAGCGGCGUGGGAGAGUAGGAAGCCGCCGGGA